GGGGGUAUGGCUCCCAGGCUACGAUGGGUAGGGGUUCUUAGUGGAAGGUCCCCCACACUGGCACUGAGAUACGGGCCAGACUCCUACGGGAGGCAGCAGUAGGGAAUAUUGGUCAAUGGGCGCAAGCCUGAACCAGCCAUGCCGCGUGCAGGAUGAAGGCUCUCUGAGUUGUAAACUGCUUUUAUACAGGAGCAAAAAAAUCCCUGCGGGGGUUCUUGAGAGUACUGUAAGAAUAAGCACCGGCUAAUUCCGUGCCAGCAGCCGCGGUAAUACGGGAGGUGCAAGCGUUAUCCGGUUUUAUUGGGUUUAAAGGGUGCGUAGGCGGCUUAUUAAGUCAGUUGUGAAAUCCUAGUGCUUAACGCUAGAACUGCGAUUGAUACUAUUAGGCUUGAGUUAAAA
rnacentral:rRNA from 1 species